rnacentral:rRNA from 1 species
UACGGGGGGGGCAAGCGUUGUUCGGAAUUACUGGGCGUAAAGGGCUCGUAGGCGGCCAACUAAGUCAGACGUGAAAUCCCUCGGCUUAACCGGGGAACUGCAUCUGAUACUGGAUGGCUUGAGUUCGGGAGAGGGAUGCGGAAUUCCAGGUGUAGCGGUGAAAUGCGCAGAUAUCGGGAGGAACACCGGUGGCGAAGGCGGUUCUCUGGGCCUUACCUGACGCUGAGGAGCGAAAGCAUGGGGAGCGAACAGG